rnacentral:rRNA from 1 species
AGAGUUUGAUCCUGGCUCAGGAUGAACGCUAGCGGCAGGCUUAACACAUGCAAGUCGAGGGGCAGCACGGGUAGCAAUACCUGGUGGCGACCGGCGCAAGGGUGCGUAACGCGUGAGCAACAUGCCCUAUACAGGGGGAUAAUCCAGGGAAACUUGGUCUAAUAUCCCAUAGUAUUUAGAGGAGGCAUCUUCUAUAAAUUAAAGCUUCGGUGGUAUAGGAUUGGCUCGCGUGACAUUAGCUAGAUGGUGAGGUAACGGCUCACCAUGGCAAUGAUGUCUAGGGGUUCUGAGAGGAAGGCCCCCCACACUGGGACUGAGACACGGCCCAGACUCCUACGGGAGGCAGCAGUGAGGAAUAUUGGACAAUGGAUGGAAAUCUGAUCCAGCCAUGCCGCGUGCAGGAAGACAGCCCUAUGGGUUGUAAACUGCUUUUAUAUGGGAGCAAUAAGGUCUACGUGUAGACUGAUGAGAGUACCAUAUGAAUAAGCAUCGGCUAACUCCGUGCCAGCAGCCGCGGUAAUACGGAGGAUGCGAGCGUUAUCCGGAUUUAUUGGGUUUAAAGGGUGCGUAGGCGGCCGAGUAAGUCAGCGGUGAAAUUUUGCAGCUUAACUGUAACAGUGCCGUUGAUACUGCAUGGCUAGGAUUUGGUUGCUGUGGGUGGAAUGUGUGGUGUAGCGGUGAAAUGCUUAGAUAUCACACAGAAUAUCAAUUGCGAAGGCAGCUCACAAAGCCAAGAUUGACGCUGAGGCACGAAAGUGUGGGGAUCAAACAGGAUUAGAUACCCUGGUAGUCCACACUGUAAACGAUGAUAACUCACUGCCGGCGAUACACAGUCGGUGGCCAAGCGAAAGCGAUAAGUUAUCCACCUGGGGAGUACGACCGCAAGGUUGAAACUCAAAGGAAUUGACGGGGGCCCGCACAAGCGGAGGAACAUGUGGUUUAAUUCGAUGAUACGCGAGGAACCUUACCCGGGCUUGAAUUGCAGAGGAAGGAUUUGGAGACAAUGACGCCCUUCGGGGCCUCUGUGAAGGUGCUGCAUGGUUGUCGUCAGCUCGUGCCGUGAGGUGUCGGCUUAAGUGCCAUAACGAGCGCAACCCUUGUUGUUAGUUACCAACAGGUAAAGCUGGGGACUCUAACGAGACUGCCACCGUAAGGUGUGAGGAAGGGGGGGAUGACGUCAAAUCAGCACGGCCC